UCCAAUCUUCUGGGUCAGAUAUGUUCCUGCCUCAGUGGUGCUGUGGAUACAGUCUCUAGAAUCUAGCCAGCAGAGUAUCUGAGGUGCUGUUAAUGAACACUGCUUUUCCUGAAGAGCAGAAUGCAAGGCUGUGACAAUUGAAAGAAGUCAAAUGUGAAGUCUCUGCUUCAGGGAUCCAUUUUAGGGCAUUCUGGAAAAAGCUUUCCAACAUAUAUUAGACUUGCUCCUGGUGCAAGAAACACAAGAGGAGGUUCCACUGAGAUUGGGGAAAAGGAAAGACCCUGAGAGAUCUCCCUGGGAGGCUGGCCCUGCUUCUCUGCCACAGAGUAGAGCUUCCUGGAUGACACUGAGCUGGUUGAGCACCUGCAGACCACCAAGGCCACCAUGUCAGAGAUACAGCACAAGGUGAUACAAGCCCAGAGAUAUGAAUGAAAUAUAAGGAGACCAGAGAGUGCUACAGGCCAGUGGCAGCCAAAACCUCUUUUCUAUAAUUCCUUAUUAACGAACUCAGGAAGAGAUGAGUACCUCAACUGCUAAGAGUUGGUGAAGAAACAAGGUACUGGAAAGCGGGUAACCCCAACUCCUAAGACAGUUUGUAAAGAGGCAAGACACUGGUAAAUGGGUAAAUCAACUCCUAAGAGUGUUGGUAAGAAGGAAGGUACUGGAAAAUGUGUACAUCAAAACCUAAAAGGGUUGGUAAAGCAGCUAGGUACUGGAAAAUGUGUACCUCAACUCCUAAGAGAGUUGGUGAAGAAGCCAGGUACAGGAAAGUGGAUAUCUCAACUCCUCAGACAGUUUGUAAAGAGACAAAGUACAGCGAAAUGGGUACCUCAACUCCUAAGGAUAGUUGGUAAAGAGGCAAGGUACUGGAAAAUGUGUAUCUCAACUCCUAACAGAGUUGGUAAAGAGGCAAGGUACUGGAAAAUGGGUACCUCAACUACUUAGAGAGUUGGUGAAGAAACAAGGUAGUGGAAAGCAGAUACCUCAACUCCUAAGAGAGUUGAGAAGGAGCAGGGUACUGUAAAAUGAGUACCUCAGUUCCUAGGAGAGUUGGUAAAGAGGCAAGGUACUGGAAAAUAUGAAUCUCAACUCCUAAGAGAGUUGGUAAAGAGGCAAGGUACUGGAAAAUGGGUACCACAACUCAUAAGAGAGUUGGUAAAGAGGCAAGAUACUGGAAAAUGUGUACCUCAACUCCUAAUAGAGUUGAUAAAGAAACAAUAGUGGAAAGCAGGUACCUCAACUCCUAAGAGAGUUGAUAAAGAGGCAAGGUACUGGAAAAUGGGUACCUCAAUUCCUAGGAGAGUUGGUAAAGAGGCAAGGUAAUGGAAAAUGUGCAUCUCAACUCCUAAGAGAGUUGGUAAAGAGGCAAGGUACUGGAAAAUGGGUAUCUCAACUCCUAAGAGAGUUGGGAAAGAGGCAGGGUACUGUAAAAUGAGUACCUCAAUUCCUAGGAGAGUUGGUAAAGAGGCAAGGUACUGGAAAAUGUGUAUCUCAACUCCUAAGAGAGUUGGUAAAGAGGCAAGCUACAGGAAAAUGGGUACCUCAACUCCGAAGAGAGUUGGUAAAGAGGCAAGGUACUGGAAAAUGGGUACCUCAACUCCGAAGAGAGUUGGUAAAGAGGCAAGGUACUGGAAAAUGGGUAUGUCAACUCUUAAGAGAGUUGUUAACAAAAACAAGGAUUUAGCUAUGUUUCUAUGUUUUUUCAUGAUCCCCAUGACAGCGCCCCCAUCCAGCAUAGAGCAGUUUAGAAUGAACGAUGCCCAAAUUCCCAAAAAUACUUUGUAUUGGUAUAGAUUUGGUAUAUAUGUCAUUUAUUGAUACAUAAAGAAGUUGGAGAUGCUUAGCCAUAGAAACCAGGAGGUCUCUAUGAUUUGCUGGUCAGCCAAUAACCACAUGUGCAUCCUGCUUUCUAGUCCUGGAUUCCAGCCACAGCCGUCCCCACUGGCAUCACAUCCAGUUGUGAAAAGAGGAGCUCUUACAGGCCCCACACCUCUCUGAUUAUCUGAGUCAGGGGUCUGGCUAAGCAGUGCUAAUUUGCUGACUGCUUGGUUUGUAUUACAUUAGAUACGCCUACCCUGUGUAUUUUGUUUGACUCAGCUAGCAGUUUUAGAAAUAGUCUGUCAGUGGAAGUUUGGGGAAUGGGCAACUUCAGAGAUAGAACAGCAGAGCCUGAUUAGCAUAGGGAGCGUAGGUAAAUCAGGAUAUAGACGGGUCCAGGAGUAUGGAAAUAUAAAAUUUUAAGCCCAAACAUAUUUGGGGAAUGUAUGUGUAUAUAUGCAUACAUAAACACACACAAAUAUAUAUAAAAACCACCUUCUGCCUUAAGAGCAGACAUCCUGGCAGCCACGGUGUACAGAGGUAAACUUUUAACAAUUGUCUCCUGCCUCCCAGCUUCCCAGCUAGGCAGCUACUGCAGACAAAGUAAGAUUCUAACUAUUGCCUCCAUGGGACCCUCUUGUUGUAUUCCCUGAAGUUUUAACUGUCGUCCCGUGUGACUCUGCUCUCUGCCUUGUAUUCUCUCAGGGACAGCACUGUAUCAGCCACUGGCUUUCCCAAACAUCCUAACUUAACAUCCUAUAAUGAAAAGUUGUAAAACUUAAAAUGUAAUGUGACUUUAAGCAUGACCUCCAGGUUAUAAAAGCUCUUUGAACCCCCCUGGUGCUUGUUUUUAUUAUAAGAAGAGGCUGGAAAUCAGCCCAGGUUGCCACAGUUUCAGAAGACUGAUCUCUGGAUGUGAACCCAGUUAACUGUUAAGCUUCUUGUACCUUGCACUGAUUUUUUUUCUUUGUUGCUUGUUUGAAUAAAGAUUGCUUCUACUUUUAUA